ACCUGCAAUGCUCAUUAGGGUCUCAAGUGCAAAAAAGGCUCAGAAGGUCUGGGCAGGGGUCAAGGAGGUUCCAAUCCAAACUCUAGAGAGAGAGGGAAGACACUGAGAAUACAAGCCUCUGUGGCAGGUGGCAGAUCAGCCUGGGAAAAUACAAAGGGGCCGGUUACCCCCCACCCAGCACUGACAGGGGCGCACGAGGUGGCUUUGGGGGAAGCCCCCCGCCCCCCCCCCACCCCCCGCAGAGUUUAGGCUUGGCUGGGGGAGGGGCUAGUGGGACUUGUCCCAAGGAACACUCCAGCAGACAAUGAGAACGUGGGUGGUGUGGAGCUGCCGGCUGGGGGCAGGUGCCCAAGGAGACAGCACAGAGCAGGUGCAAAGGGCUGGGUCUCUGGGGGCAGAGGAGCCAGGGCUCUGCCAGCUAGGGCCCAUGGAGCAGGGCAGGUGACACGGAGUUGCAGGUGAGCGAGGAGAGGGACUGUGAUGGAUCGCUAGCUUGCAGCCACUUCGAGCAGCCGUAGGAACCCAGGUCCCCGGGGCUCGGCCAGGCCCCUCCACUCCCUCCCCUUGGGAACAGUCUGCCUCUUCUGCAUGUGUCCGGCUGGGCAAAGGGGCAGCCGAAAAGUUUGGUUUUUGAGAGGAAAACCCGCAGCCCCCAAGCAUAUAAAUGCACGCAAUGGAGGCUUCUUGAUUGAAACAAAGACCGACUCCAUGGAAUGGAGAACUUGGGGAGCUUCCCCCUUGUUCCUAGAGGUUUCCCAAUCAAGGCAGAUCAAAGCCACCGCAGAUGUGCUCCCGUGGGCUCCAUGAAGGCCGUGCCCAGGACGCCUAGCUCGGAAGCCCAAGAAAACAAAGAUGCGCAUCUGUCUGUGUCCCUAGACCACUCCAAUCAGCUAAACGAAGGCCAACCACGGACGCUGGCAUCUAGGGCUCCGACUGUCCCGGCUCCCGGGCGGGCGGCAGAGGCACGGGACAGGUCAAGCCACCAGUCGGCAAGGCAGUUACUUCCAGGCGAGAGGUGAAGGUGACCUUGCCCUUGAUGAAGGCUCCAGGAAGCCCCGGGAACCGCAGCUUCUCGGCCAGAUCCACGGGGGAGGACUGUCACUGGGAGGGUGGGAAGACGAUGGAGGGGCUGGACUGUCCCUUCAGCGUGUCGGCGAUCCGGGACCCCCGGUGGUCCCGACUCAGGUGCACAGGACCUCACGGUAACCUUGUCAGAGCUGCUCAGAACGGACCCAGAGCUUGGUGGUCCCCUUCUUUGGGACCCUCGGGUGUUGUGUCCCUCCUGGCUAAGCUUGCUCCACAGAUGGUCAAUAAAGGAGGUGACAGAGGCCAGCAAUGGCUCAUCUGGACGCGAGUCCUCGCAGGGGUGAGGAGGCCGUGUGGUGCAGUGGUUAAAGCUCAGUCAGAGACCAAACGGCUGCCAGAAUCCUGGCCCACAACAUCCUGGCCGUAUGACCCGGGAUAAGCAAUUCAAAUGCCUGGACCUCAGAUUUGCCCGUCUGACUGUUCACGAGCAGCGGUUGGUAUUCACUCUGUUGUCAGCUGCUUGGGCGUCCGGGAACCCCCUCCAAGUGGGACCGGGGCUCCCUAACACCGAACGGCGUUCAGCAGCCCUGUGGGCCAAGCGACUCACGGAUCCUGCUGGUGACAUCUAAACUAAUCACUCCAGGGCAGACAUCAGAGCUGGAGAGCUGAGGCAGCCAUAGGCCAGAAAUGGCAGAAGGUUCCUUGUUGAUAAAGACCAGGCAUGGACUCUCGCGGGGGCGCGCUGGGUACUUUUCCAAAGGGGGAGGGCUCACCUCGCUCGCCGCUGUGGCCUGCAGGGGACAGGAGCACAAAGAUGCCUUCUGCCCAGGGUAUUGCUUACUUGGCAGGGGACCCACAGCAGCGUGGAGCGCAUGUGCCCAAAGCAGCAAAGGCAGUAGUGUUUGACAAGUCGGACCAGUGCUAUUUCCAAAUUAAAUCACCCAGGCUGGCUGCUGGUAUGCCCUCGUCGCAGAUGGAGGGUGGCCAGCUCUGACGCUUGGCACGCGGAGCCCCAGGAAAUGCUGCCAGACGACAACAAUGGGACCCAAGGUGACAGGCCACGUACUUCUCAUAGGACCGAUGGCACUUGCCAUAUUCUAUUCCCCAAAAGGGGAGACUAGGAUUCCGGAACACCCACCAGGCGCCAUUCGUAGGCAUUGCACUCCUGCCCAACGAGGAAGGAAACAGAGACCAGGCAGAGGUCCUUCGCCCAAACGUACAGAGCUGAGACGUGGGGGGGGCAGCAUUGGAACUCAGAUCUGGGUGUGCCAAUGUUCCCUCUCUUCCCUGCAAAGGUCUCCCUCUCUUCCUUUCUUCUUUGUUCAUAGCGGUCAUCCUGGGCUCUAGUCGGUGAGCCAUGCACGUGUACCUGGUAUCCUUAGUGCUGUUUUCUGUAACCGAGGACACUGAAGCUUGGGGACUUCAGUUAACUCAAUAUACGCUUACUGAGCACCGAUACGUGCUGGACCCCCUGCGCUGCCGCGAGCGCUGGAUGGGUUCCCCGUGUGUGCCCGCUACGGUGCCUGGUGUGGGCGAGGAUGUGCGUGGUCAUUCACGGACCUUGCCCCCAGGCUACACGCUCAUUAAGGGAGUGUUUGUCUUCAGAUGCAGAAUGAGCCAGAGCAUUUCCUUGACUUGGCUGUUUCCCUAACGACUAACACUAACACGUCGUGAGUUUACCGUUUUAUGUAAACUUGACGUCUUCUCAUGGGUUAUCUGCUCACAUCCUCACAAGGCCUCCGGGAGGUACACGGGCUGGGUGUUGGCACCUGUUAUAGAUGAGGAAAUGAGGAGGGAACAGAAUGAGUGGGGCGGCAGAGGGCAGGCCUCAAACCUGGGGCUGGUCCUGCUCCUGCUCCCGGGCCAGUGUUCCCAAUGAUGACUGUCCUCACUUCCUCUGCCUCCCCUGCAUGGGCUCCAUAUUUUGCAAUACGUUGCCAACAAGACCGGAUGCAUUAAGUAAGUGUGAAUGUGUUUCCCCAUUUUUCUUAAUCAAAGACAUAUGCACCUGCCACUCACAGCUCCUGCUCGGGAUCCACCCCCCGAGGAAGAGAGGCUUGAGGGCCUCCACUUAGUGGGGGAGGAUUUCCUCCGUCCACUCAGCCCCCAGGAUUUUGUGCGCCCACUGAACGCCAGGCGCCGUUAGAGGUGCUUGAGAUACGUCGGUGCAAGAGGUGCUUGAGAUACGUCGGUGAACCAAAGAUCCCCAGAGAGUACGUUCCAGCAGUGGGGAGACAGAGUGAACAACACAAUAAAUAAAUAUGUUAUGGA